UCAUGCUCUUCAGUGACAUUGUGCAUAGGUCACCAUUAGUAAAAUCCCUGUAGUGAGAACAAAAAAAACUAAUGCCAUGGUAUUAGAAUAUGUUUACUUGCCUUUUAUGGUACAAACUAAAUUAGGAGAGGGUUAACCAUCCUAGGGGAGCCUAUAUUUAGUUUGGAAAUAACAUUUGUCAUUCUGUCAGUGUUUUUUCGCUUGGCCCUAUAUGUUUUGAAACGUAAAUUCUUCAUGGACAAAAGGGGCCCAAACAAUUGAGAAAACGGUCCUUACCUAGUUUAUCUUGUCUGUCAUUGUUUGGGAUUCUAUUCCUUUUGAUACAUUGUUCUGUUCAUGUCUCGUUUAGGUUCUGUUACAUCUUAGUUCUUUGUAUUUAAAAGUUAUCCACUGUGCAGUGUCCUUGCCUCCUACACACAACGUUCCAAUGACAAGCUGUGUCUUUUGACGCGACUACUUCAUUUUUUUGUCAUGUAUUUAAUGUUUUCAGCAUCUUAGGGCAUAUAGCAAGUGAAAUGUGGCCAACAGAGUUCGUCAUUUGGACCAGUAUGUUCUUUGAAACAGUGAAUGCCGUAUGGGCAAAACUGCUAAAGCAAUCAAGUAAAACUGCAAUAUUAUAUCAUAAUAAGCACCCUAAUUGCAAGCGAGAUCUAGCAAGGAAGCUAAUCUCACAUUUUCUGCAAUUUACAACAAAUCCAAAAUCUCACCGAACAUGAAUUACGUUUCCUAUUUAAUCAACCCAUAUUGUCAAAUUAAAAUCAAGUUGGAUGAAACAAUGGAUACAAAAAGACACACCCAUUCAUGUGUGCAUCAACACAAUAACUGGUCGAACAUUCGGACUCCCUCCCUUUUCGAAUGUUCUUGCUAUCAGGCAAAUGUUACUAAACAUGAGAGGCAAAUGUUCAUAACAUCAUAUAGGGCUUGUUGUGGACAGGCCGUCUCCUCUUCACACACUAAUCUUCCCACCGAGACACCAUUCUAUGUCCUAUGUCAGAUCCUCCUGACCAUGUGUCUGUCUUUGAGGAGAAAUGGAAGUGUCUUGCCAGACCUGAACACUGAGCCCAGACAGACAGCCUAAAUCCCACACACUACCCAGGAGAUGACCCACGUCACUGACAGGGCCUUGCAACUCUUUGGCCGACUUCACAAAGAACAAAAGGCUACCAGAUAUAAAGCAGCUCUUCCUGAAUAUCACAGACAAUCCACAACACAGAAUACCAGGGAUCUCCAACCAAAGAAAUGGAAUUACACUUCUAUUCCUCCAGUCCAUGAGAACUGACAGGGUGAAGCCACAAGUCCCUUUGCCCUAGAAGACUUGAGACCUGGAAAGCGAUGUUGUGCGACGGACAGACAGACACUUGCGCAGACGGACAAAAGCUCUCUCAUCAGACUGGCGAUGAACUCGGCUUGUAUCAUUCACCUUAACCUGACGGAGAGGUUCUAAUAAACACAUACGCCCUCCGGAGAUGGAUUACAGUUUCUUAGCGGAAAAGGAGAGUGGACCUAUCAAUUAUUUCAUUUGUAUCAAAACAAUCAGUGUUUUGAGAAAAUAUUAUUUAAAAUAUCAGAGAGUUUUAUUGGUUUGAGGAAAUGUUUUUCUGUGCAGCUAUGGGUCUUCUAUAAUUGAGUUUACAGCCCUCUCCUCAGGCCUCCCCAGACCAUUCAUAUUCCCAUGAGGAAAAAGUUUGGAGACCAGCUCUGUGAGGUAUUACGGAUGACAGUAUGAGUACGGGACAAAAUCACGGCCCAGACAUUCUGAUAUUUGUCAUGUCUACCACACUGCAACACAUGGCCUUGUAAGGUUUUACUGGUAUGCCCUCUACACCAGGGAUGGAACUGAACCAAACAGCCGAGGAAAAUGCAAUUUUCUAGUAGUCAAGGAAAGUGUGGCAAUAUAUUCAGCUACUAAUUCAAGGUAGCAAGUCAAGUAGUGUUUGCGAAGAUCUUGGUUGAUGUACUGUAAGGUCUGCCUACGUUAAUGUUGUUACACCCAUCAACCAUCUGUCACAACAAGUGUACAAUGAACCUGGUUUGUACACAUUCAUUUAGGAAUCCGCCUCUGUAAAUUUCAUACAAGAGCAUUUUUGUCCAAGUUCACUCUGCUCUAUUACCUUUGAACGUGAGCAAAGGGAAGCCAGAUAUUACAGAGAGGAGAAGACAGAGUUGAGGAAAUAUAAUUGAUUUUAAACACUAUGACUCAACCAAGAUUGCCCUGGCAGGCAUAAAACAAGGUUUUUGAAAAAAAACAAUAAAAAUAGGUGAACGCAGUUUCAUUACUCAUGAAUGAAAUCAAAUGUUGAUUGUAUAAAUCAAAUAUACUGGGGUCUGUAAAAAUAUACAAUAUCUGUAUGUAAAACAUUUACACCAAAAUGUUAGACAACUUGUGUGAGGUGUGUUAACAAAUGUUCUGGU
ensembl:lncRNA